rnacentral:lncRNA from 10 species
CAGUGAGCCGAGAUCGCGCCACUGCACUCCAGCCUGGGCGACAGAGCAAGACUCCGUCUAAAAAAAAAAAAAAAAAAGAAAGAAAGUUCUUUUCUCACCCCUAAUAGGAUGGAGUAGACUACAUAGCUCCACCUAUUUUGGCUCCUGUGAAAAAUAUUGAGCCUGAAUCUAAUGAGGCCUAUAAGAACUAGCUUCAGUUACGAAAAGUUCAGGGGAUAGAGGAACACGUUAAACAACACACAAAGAAGCAAUCAGACAAAGCCAGAAUGUGAAACAGUUUAUAAGACAACUGCCAUAAUCUCUUAAAAGCCAAUGUUGUAAAAACAAAAAAAAGUAAUGGGGAGGAGGUUCUAGAUUUAAAGAGACCUAAUAGUCUAACAAGCCAAAUAUAAGAUGUGAUUCUUGAUUAUAUCUUGAUUUAUUACUAUAAAAAAAUAAGGACCACGUUUUUAUUUUUAUCAUAUUUAUUUAUUUAUUUUGAGACAGGGUCUCACUCUGUUGCCCAGGCCGAAGUGCAGUGGUGUGAUCCUAGCUCACUGCAAGCUCAAAUUCCUAGACUCAAGCCAUCCUCCCUCUUCAGCCUCCCCACAGCUGGGACUAUAGGUGCAAGACAUCAUACCUGGCCAUUUUUUUUUUUUUAUUUUAGUAGAGAUGACAUCUCACUACAUUGCCCAGGCUGGCCUGGAACUCCUAGCUUCAAGCCACCUUCCCACCUUGACUUCCCAAAGCACUGAGAUUACAGGUGUAAGCGACUAUACCUGGCCCACCAUGCUUUAGACAAUGGGGAAAUUUCACUAUGAACUUGGUAUUAGAUGAUAUAAGAAAAUUAUUGCUAAUUUUGUGAGACGUGUUAAGUGUAUUGUUAUGGAAGAGAAUGAUCUAAUUUUUGGAAAUACAUGCUGAAGUGUUUAGGGUUGAAGUGUUAGAAUAUCUGUAAUUAGCUUUAAAAUGCUUUAGCCACAGAUUUUAUAUAUAGUGAGAUGGAGAAAACAGUAAAAUGUUGACAAUUGUUGCUAUGUGAUUGAUGUAUAGGUAUUUGGUUUAUUGUUUUUUUUUAUUUUUCUGAUAUUUUCAAAAGAAAAAUUUUCUUUCCCUUUUUUUUGUUAUUGUUGUUGAGACAGGGUUUCAACUCCUGGACUCAAGCAAUCUCCAGCCUGGGCGACAGAGCAAGACUCUAUCUCGAAAAAAAAAAAAUUACAAUAUAUUGCUGGCAUACAUCACCUCCAUACACGGAAUCACAAUAUAUGGAGGUGAUGUACGCUAGUAGGUCUUGCCAUUCAGAUGACAGAUUAUGGGCUCCUGGGGAUAGCAGCUAGGUUUAGAUCAACUAUAUUUAUCUCAGAG